ACUCAAAGGAAUUGACGGGGGCCCGCACAAGCAGCGGAGCGUGUGGUUUAAUUCGACGCAACGCGAAGAACCUUACCGAGGCUUGACAUGCUGCCGCCACCCGCCGAAAGGCGGGGUUCCCGCAAGGGACGGCAGCACAGGUGCUGCAUGGCUGUCGUCAGCUCGUGUCGUGAGAUGUUGGGUUAAGUCCCGCAACGAGCGCAACCCUCGUUGGCAGUUAUCGUGUCUGCCGAGACUGCCGAGAGAAACUCGGAGGAAGGUGGGGAUGACGUCAAGUCAGCACGGCCCUUACGUCUCGGGCUACACACACGCUACAAUGGCCGGUACAGAGGGCUUAUCAGCCAAGUCGUGAGGCGGAGCUAAUCCCACAAAACCGGUCUCAGUUCGGAUUGCAGGCUGCAACUCGCCUGCAUGAAGUCGGAGUUGCUAGUAACCGCAGGUCAGCACACUGCGGUGAAUAUGUUCCCGGGCCUUGUACACACCGCCCGU
rnacentral:rRNA from 1 species